GCGGAUAUUGCAUAGUGGUAGUGCGUAACCUUGCCAAGGUUAAUGUGCGGGUCCGAUUCCCGCUAUCCGCUCAA
rnacentral:tRNA from 1 species